rnacentral:rRNA from 1 species
GACGUAGGGCGCGAGCGUUGUCCGGAUUUAUUGGGCGUAAAGAGCUCGUAGGCGGCUUGUUGCGUCAGCUGUGAAAACCCGCAGCUCAACUGUGGGCUUGCAGCUGAUACGGGCAGGCUUGAGUUCGGUAGGGGAGACUGGAAUUCCUGGUGUAGCGGUGAAAUGCGCAGAUAUCAGGAGGAACACCGGUGGCGAAGGCGGGCAUUCUGGCC